UGUGAGGGAAAGUAGGUCUUCAGAGAUAGAUGACACGGAAGAGCCGGAGAGCGAGCGGGCGGGUGAACGGGGGCGGCGAUACAUCGGGAAGCGUAGGAAGGGCUCCAUAGACGUUUGCUCGAUGUUGGUGGGGAUGAAAGUCAUGGUUGUAGAAGACGACGACAAUGUCGACGAUGACGAUGGCGGCGAUGACGACGAAGACGAGCGAUGUCGAUGAUGACGACCAAGGCGAGGUGGAUCAUCUAGGCUCUGAUACCAACUGAAAGGGAGCCAGACCGCUCCUAACAAUUGGGAAGCAUAAGCUGAAUUUACUUGCCGAGAAGCUGGCGUACGCUGGCGUAUGCCAAGAUAAUCGGGAUUAUCAAGCUCAACUUAGCCAUACGAAGCCAAUAAUCUGGUCCGCUUAAAUAGCCUAGCUAGCGAUCAACAACCUCACAAGCCGUAUACACGAGUCCUAGCUCCGCAAGCUCCGAAAUUACGAAAUGAUCACACACGUGUUCCGAAAGUUCGUCAACCGACCUCAUAACAUUACAGUCUCCGUCGCUUAAAAAGUCCUCAAGAUCAAUUAUUCAUUGAAAGUUAAAGAGUACCUCCAAAUCAUCAAUGUAUGUAAAAUGCAUAAUUUUAAAAAGUUUCACUAAUUUUGCGCCUUUCUAAAUCUUUUCAGCGACUUCCAGUGUUAUAAAAUUGCUGCCUUCAAAUAGUAACGAAAGGCAAUGAAGGGACUUUGAAAAUCUGACUGAAUCCCCGGUCGCCGUACAUUUUCAGCUAUUUUCGUAUACCCUUAAAGCAUCUUCAGUUCAUUUUCCAUUCACCUUCAAGCAUUUUUCAUGCUCGUCUCAUAUUAUCUCAAGCAGUGAGUACUUGUAACCCUAACAUAAACCUAUAACUUCAUCAUUUACAUCGUACUUUAAUGUCUUUCCACUUGGCCGAACACUAACACUAAGUUUGAAUGUUUUUCGUCCUGGACUCGUCUCUCGCCGUUCUAAAUGCAUAUAUUGAUACUACUAAUGAUAGUAGAAAAUAUUCAUCAAACAAAUUGGAGGUUGGGGCACUCCUGGCGGAGAACCGUAAGGCCUAGUGGAAACACCCCGUACACUAAGUCCACACUAGCGCACACUUAAGUUAAUUGGACCUCAGACCUGCCAUUAACUUUAGUACCUAGCACAAACUAUUUGGCGGGCAACUUUUAUGAGCUGGAUUGUCCCUUCUGACCACAGACUUUAGACGUAAGCAGCUAUCUUUUUUCCUUCCUGCAAACGCCGCGUUGACUUGCGCACGCCCAACACCGACAGCCUCAGAACACCGCCAUUUUGCAAUGGAGCCCUCCUUCAAUAACGUUCAGCAAACAUACACCGCUAGUUUGCCUUCCUUCGCUGGCCGGCCGUUGCCAAUGCACCAUGCGGACUUCAUGGCGGACAUCAUGACGCAGGCUGCGCCGCAGCGGAUCUUAAAUACGCGAAUUCUUACAGACCUUGACAAUUAUCAGCAAUUAAUCCCUGGCGCUAAAACGUUCAAAAUACGAAAACAAUUUUGGUUUCGGCGCUCCUUAGUGCCGCUAGUGGAAACACCAUCACACUAAGUCCACACUAAGUCCACAAUAGCACAUAGUGUACCGAAGAUAGUGUUCGGACAAGUGGAAACACCCUGUUAGGGGAUGUUUCCAGUUGGAAUAAAAGCCACGAAUCAAGGCUUGAUAGUAUUCUAAAUGUCCAGCAGUACUCGGUUUUGCAUUUUACGCACGGAAUGGCAUUGUUUCUUGAGUUCUCAGGUGUUACGGACUUUUCAGGUGUUACUUACGGACUGUUCAACACUUCUUGUAAGGGAUUUGUGUUCGUUACCGAGUACGUAGGGUUUGGCUUUGAUCGGUACGACUCUGUGUCGUGCAAGGCUUUGCCAGACUAUUUAAGGCAUUCCUACACCAUUAUUUGUAAGCUUAGUAUUCUUCUCUUCCUUGUCUCUCAGUCAGCGAUUGAUGUCGGGCUCUGCAGAUCGGGCAAGUUAGGAACUAAUGCUUCCUCCAGUCGCCAACUGGAGCCAGUUCCUUUCAUAUGGUAUCGAGUUAUGGUUCAAUCCUGCAUCGGUCCGUAUUGGAGCUGUUUUCCCAUCGUCACUGCUUUUGCACUUCGCGCCACCGCACGAUCGAUUGUUUGCCGGCCCGUGUUGCCGGUCGUUCACCCGCAUCUCGUAACUACCGGGUUCAUCGCUCUUCGGUACUGACAUUCAGCUUUGUACGCUACUGUUGUGUGCAAGUCGGCUCAAGUCGCUCCACUCCGAGUGUAACAGUUGGUGUCACAACUUGAAAUCGGAGCUCUUUCCUUUUCAGUUGGAUCAGAACGCCUUACCGUCGUUCGACAGCCGGCCAAGUUUGGACACCGUGCGCUGGACUGCAGUUUCACGUUCGUUUCGGGCUCAAGAAUGGGCCAUAUCCGUUUGCUUCUAUCGUUUGCGGAAGCUGACAACCCGCCGUCUACCUCGUUCGUUCAACGUUAAUCGCCGUGCCCUGGUCGCCAGUAUGCCUGCCCGUCGUGUAGGUUGUAUGCGUGCUCGUGUUGCAGCAGCCUCCACGGCAGGAGUGCACCGGGUUGACAGCGACUGGAUGCUUGCGUACCCCACGUUUCACGAGUUCAAUCGUUUUCGUUAUCUUCGUCGUCGAUCCAACGUCACGCUAAAGGCCAUCACAUCUCAUCAUGCCAUGGAGCUCGAUGUUGGCCCUUGUAUCUGUGUGCCCCUGUGUUUUGGCUCAAGUCGACCGGGGCGCCCAGCCGAGUGCUCAAAAGAGACCUACCAUCACCUUCACGAGAUUCUCCGUUCUUACUUUCCUUCGAGUUCUCAUGUGUGCUUAUGUGUGCAGUAGAUGCAAUCAUUCCGGAGCUCACACAGUCAUGCUUUUCAUUUGAACCAAGCUAUGCUGUCUUUGGGUUUUUCUUAGCUGGAACACCUUGCCUUAUGUGGUUAGCUGUCUGAGUCCCAUAUGUAGUCAUGCCAUGGCAUUGUAUGGGGGUGCAGUUGCCUGAGCAUGCCCACUGUUGUGAUGAAAGCAGUGAGUUGCAGUAUGCAAGGGAACCUUGUGCUUGCGUCUGUAAUGGCAACGAGGACGUUGCAGCUUUGAAAGACCGGGGAAAUGUAAGGGAUUUGUGUUCGUUACCGAGUACGUAGGGUUUGGCUUUGAUCGGUACGACUCUGUGUCGUGCAAGGCUUUGCCAGACUAUUUAAGGCAUUCCUACACCAUUAUUUGUAAGCUUAGUAUUCUUCUCUUCCUUGUCUCUCAGUCAGCGAUUGAUGUCGGGCUCUGCAGAUCGGGCAAGUUAGGAACUAAUGCUUCCUCCAGUCGCCAACUGGAGCCAGUUCCUUUCACUUCUCUCCUAGCUCCAAUGUAAGAAUAUAAUUCGAUAUU
rnacentral:lncRNA from 1 species